CCUACGGGGGCUGCAGUGGGGAAUAUUGGACAAUGGGCGAAAGCCUGAUCCAGCCAUGCCGCGUGUGUGAAGAAGGCCUUCGGGUUGUAAAGCACUUUCAGUGGGGAAGAAAGCCUUGGGGCUAAUACCCUCGAGGAAGGACAUCACCCACAGAAGAAGCACCGGCUAACUCCGUGCCAGCAGCCGCGGUAAUACGGAGGGUGCGAGCGUUAAUCGGAAUUACUGGGCGUAAAGCGCGCGUAGGCGGUCUGAUAAGCCGGUUGUGAAAGCCCCGGGCUCAACCUGGGAACGGCAUCCGGAACUGUCAGGCUAGAGUGCAGGAGAGGAAGGUAGAAUUCCCGGUGUAGCGGUGAAAUGCGUAGAGAUCGGGAGGAAUACCAGUGGUGAAGGCGGCCUUCUGGACUGACACUGACGCUGAGGUGCGAAAGCGUGGGUAGCAAACAGGAUUAGAUACCCUAGUAGUC
rnacentral:rRNA from 1 species